GCCGCCUUAGCUCAGUUGGUUAGAGCGCUUGAUUGUGGAUCAAGAGGUCUCUGGUUCGAUUCCAGAAGGCGGUACCA
rnacentral:tRNA from 1 species